rnacentral:rRNA from 1 species
CAGCCGCCGCGGGAAUACGAAGGGUGCAAGCGUUAAUCGGAAUUACUGGGCGUAAAGCGUGCGUAGGCGGUUUGUUAAGUCUGCUGUGAAAUCCCCGGGCUCAACCUGGGAAUGGCAGUGGAUACUGGCAAGCUAGAGUGUGUCAGAGGAUGGUGGAAUUCCCGGUGUAGCGGUGAAAUGCGUAGAGAUCGGGAGGAACAUCAGUGGCGAAGGCGGCCAUCUGGGACAACACUGACGCUGAGGCACGAAAGCGUGGGGAGCAAACAGGAUUAGAGACCCCUGUAGUCCCUGUCUCUUAUAC